UGGGGUGCUCGAGUGGCGAACGGGUAAGUAACACGUGAGUAACCUGCCCUUGACUUUGGGAUAACUUCAGGAAACUGGGGCUAAUACCGGAUAGGAGCUCCUGCUGCAUGGUGGGGGUUGGAAAGUUUCGGCGGUUGGGGAUGGACUCGCGGCUUAUCAGCUUGUUGGUGGGGUAGUGGCUUACCAAGGCUUUGACGGGUAGCCGGCCUGAGAGGGUGACCGGCCACAUUGGGACUGAGAUACGGCCCAG
rnacentral:rRNA from 1 species